UGUCGUUCGAAAAUACCAGUGUGAUUACGUUAGAAGGUUAAUACAACUGGAACAUAACAAUGAAUAUAGGCGUUUACUUACGUUAUUUGAGGUAACGAUAGAACUUCGUAAAACGACAACGGCGGAAUGGGUACAAUACAAAGAAUAUAAUCAACUACACUGACGACUAGGGUAAGUGUCGACGGAUCGAUGAACGGAUGGAAGUAUACGCACGUAUGGAUAGCAAUAUUUGAUACCAGAGGCCCCAGGGCUUCUCAAAUUUGUAUACAACUGUUCCAAACCAAACCUUAUCACGGUUCGGUCCAUGUUCUUAAAUUAUUUGGACCAUAAGAAAUACUCGGACACGAAAUUAUUAUAUUUUAAAUCUAAAGUGAACGGCAAGCAUCAAGCAAUAAAAACACAAAUCACUAGUAUAUGUUCGCAUCUUCAAUAUAAUUUUGAGACUAUUAAGGAUAUUAAGUUUAACUUUGAAGAAUAAUUAAUAAUAAAUCUUGAAGAAUGAGAAUCAUUUUUAAUAAAUAUUAUAUUAUACUAAAAACAUACACUCUGAUAACAUAUGAAUUUGCAUGUAAGUAUAGGAAAAAUAUGGAUACCUAUUAACUCACGUAUUAUGAUUACUCUAUUACAUUAGAAUAUUUUUAAACUACGGUGGAUAGGUUAUGAACAUUUAGGUGCGUACCAAUAAGAUUAUUCUUGUUUUAGCAGAUUAUCAAUUGUAGUAAGUAAUAUGAAGGAAUAGAUGAAUUCCAGGAGAUUAAAGUAAAGAAAUUAUUUACGAUAUGAGUAUUCUCGUUCGAAAAUACUUGUGUGAUUACGUUAGAAGGUUAAUACAGCUGGAACAUAACAAUAAAUAUAGGCGUUUACUUACGUUAUUCGUAGUGACGAUAGAACUUCGUAAAACGACAACGGCGGAAUGGGUACGACACAAAGAAUAUAAUCAACUACACUGACGACUAGGGUAAGUGUCGACGGAUCGAUGAACGGAUGGAAGUAUACGCACGUAUGGAUAGCAAUAUUUGAUACCAGAGGCCCCAGGGCUUCUCAAAUUUGUAUACAACUGUUCCAAACCAAACCUUAUCACGGUUCGGUCCAUAUUCUUAAAUUAUUUGGACCAUAAGAAAUACUCGGACACGAAAUUAUUAUAUUUUAAAUCUAAAGUGAACGGCAAGCAUCAAGCAAUAAAAACACAAAUCACUAGUAUAUGUUCGCAUCUUCAAUAUAAUUUUGAGACUAUUAAGGAUAUUUAGUUUAACUUUGAAGAAUAAUUAAUAAUAAAUCUUGAAGAAUGAGAAUCAUUUUAAUAAAUAUUAUAUUAUACUAAAAACAUACACUCNAAGUGUCGACGGAUCGAUGAACGGAUGGAAGUAUACGCACGUAUGGAUAGCAAUAUUUGAUACCAGAGGCCCCAGGGCUUCUCAAAUUUGUAUACAACUGUUCCAAACCAAACCUUAUCACGGUUCGGUCCAUGUUCUUAAAUUAUUUGGACCAUAAGAAAUACUCGGACACGAAAUUAUUAUAUUUUAAAUCUAAAGUGAACGGCAAGCAUCAAGCAAUAAAAACACAAAUCACUAGUAUAUGUUCGCAUCUUCAAUAUAAUUUUGAGACUAUUAAGGAUAUUAAGUUUAACUUUGAAGAAUAAUUAAUAAUAAAUCUUGAAGAAUGAGAAUCAUUUUUAAUAAAUAUUAUAUUAUACUAAAAACAUACACUCUGAUAACAUAUGAAUUUGCAUGUAAGUAUAGGAAAAAUAUGGAUACCUAUUAACUCACGUAUUAUGAUUACUCUAUUACAUUAGAAUAUUGUUAACCUACGGUGGAUAGGUAAUGAACAUUUAGGUGCGUACCAAUAUGAUUAUUCUUGUUUUAGCAGAUAGUCAAUUGUAGUAAGUGAUAUAUAGGAAUAGAUGAAUUCCAGGAGAUUAAAGUAAAGAAAUUAUUUACGAUAUGAGUAUUCUCGUUCGAAAAUACUUGUGUGAUUACGUUAGAAGGUUAAUACAGCUGGAACAUAACAAUGAAUAUAGGCGUUUACUUACGUUAUUUGAGGUAACGAUAGAACUUCGUAAUUGACAACGGCGGAAUGGGUACAAAACAAAAAGUAAAAACAACUACACUGACCGCUAGGGUAAGUGUCGACGGAUCGAUGAACAAAUGGAAGUUUACGCACGUAUGGAUAGCAAUAUUUGACACCAGAGGCCCCAGGGCUUCCCAAAUUUCUAUAAAACUGUUCCAAACCAAACCUUAUCACGGUUCGGUCCAUAUUCUUAAAUUAUUUGGACCAUAAGAAAUACUCGGACACGAAAUUAUUAUAUUUUAAAUCUAAAGUGAACGGCAAGCAUCAAGCAAUAAAAACACAAAUCACUAGUAUAUGUUCGCAUCUUCAAUAUAAUUUUGAGACUAUUAAGGAUAUUAAGUUUAACUUUGAAGAAUAAUUAAUAAUAAAUCUUGAAGAAUGAGAAUCGUUUUUAAUAAAUAUUAUAUUAUACUAAAAACAUACACUCUGAUAACAUAUGAAUUUGCAUGUAAGUAUAGGAAAAAUAUGGAUACCUAUUAACUCACGUAUUAUGAUUACUCUAUUACAUUAGAAUAUUUUUAACCUACGGUGGAUAGGUUAUGAACAUUUAGGUGCGUACCAAUAAGAUUAUUCUUGUUUUAGCAGAUUAUCAAUUGUAGUAAGUAAUAUAUAGGAAUAGAUGAAUUCCAGGAGAUUAAAGUAAAGAAAUUAUUUACGAUAUGAGUAUUCUCGUUCGAAAAUACUUGUGUGAUUACGUUAGAAGGUUAAUACAGCUGGAACAUAACAAUAAAUAUAGGCGUUUACUUACGUUAUUCGUAGUGACGAUAGAACUUCGUAAAACGACAACGGCGGAAUGGGUACGACACAAAAGAUAAAAACAACUACACUGACCGCUAGUGUAAGUGUCGACGGAUCGAUGAACGGAUGGAAGUAUACGCACGUAUGGAUAGCAAUAUUUGAUACCAGAGGUCCCAGGGCUUCCCAAAUUUGUAUACAACUGUUCCAAACCAAACCUUAUCACGGUUCGGUCCAUGUUCUUAAAUUAUUUGGNACAUAACAAUAAAUAUAGGCGUUUACUUACGUUAUUCGUAGUGACGAUAGAACUUCGUAAAACGACAACGGCGGAAUGGGUACGACACAAAGAAUAUAAUCAACUACACUGACGACUAGGGUAAGUGUCGACGGAUCGAUGAACGGAUGGAAGUAUACGCACGUAUGAAUAGCAAUAUUUGAUACCAGAGGCCCCAGGGCUUCUCAAAUUUGUAUACAACUGUUCCAAACCAAACCUUAUCACGGUUCGGUCCAUAUUCUUAAAUUAUUUGGACCAUAAGAAAUACUCGGACACGAAAUUAUUAUAUUUUAAAUCCAAAGUGAACGGCAAGCAUCAAGCAAUAAAAACACAAAUCACUAGAAUAUGUUCGCAUUUUCAAUAUAAUUUUGAGA
rnacentral:lncRNA from 1 species